rnacentral:rRNA from 1 species
AUUGAACGCUGGCGGCAGGCUUAACACAUGCAAGUCGAGCGAGCGGCGGAGGGUUGAGUAAUGUCUGGAAAACUGCCUGAUGGAGGGGAUUAACUACGGAAAAGGGUGGCUAUUACGGCAAACAACAAAUGGUACCAAACUGGGAUUAGCUAGUGGUUGGGGUAUUGGCUCACCUAGGCGACGAUCCCUAGCUGGUCUGAGAGGAUGACCAGCCACACUGGAACGGAGACACGGUCCAGACUCCUACGGGAGGCAGCAGUGGGGAAUAUUGCACAAUGGGCGCAAGCCUGAUGCAGCCAUGCCGCGUGUGUGAAGAAGGCCUUCGGGUUGUAAAGCACUUUCAGCGAGGAGGCGUUACUCGCAGAAGAAGCACCGGCUAACUCCGUGCCAGCAGCCGCGGUAAUAC